AUACGUGGAAUCUUUAUAAUUUUCAAAAAACCAAGACGUUGGGAUUCCCAGUAUGAUGAGUUCAAUGAUUGUUUAUGCAGUAUAAAGUACAACAUCAAGUGAGCGACUGCAAUAGAGCGUCUGUGCACAGCGAACUUAAGAAUUAAAGCUGAGGUAACAACGUCUUUGUUGAUACUUCUUUCCUAUCUAAAAUACAAGUAUCGUGAUGGGUAACUCCGGUGGAACAGGCGGCGGCGGUGGCGUCAAUGGCGGGGGCGGUGGUGGAGGAGGUGGCGGUGGAUUUGGAGGAGGCGGUGGCGCCGGCGGUGCCGGAAAAGGCAAGAUAUGGGAAAGCUACCAUUUAAGAUGCAGCGUUCAAGGAGAGCCGUUUGUGGUUUUGAUGGAGGAGGAGGUGGUGUUUCGAGACGGCCUUAACAUGUGUUCUGAAACGGGUGGCGGUGCUGUGUGCCGUUGAUUUGUGGACUGUAUUGAACUUGUAUUUACUGAUAUUUAUGUUGUAACGCUAUUUUUAUAUUUACAAUCAUGCUCUGUUUUAAAGAUGUAUUCUUACUCCUCACAAAACAUAUUUACCACAAUGAAUACAAAUGUUUCAAUAUACCAAAAAGGUGGAAUAAAAGUCGAAAACAAUGGUUCUUAUGAAGGAUGCUGAGUUUAAUUUGAAAAAAGGUGCAGAAAACAUUUUAUUUCUACGUUAUAAGACGAUAGUAGAUCACAGUAAAUCUUUUAGCACUCACCAAUCAUAAAAUAUAUUUGCGUUUCCAGCUAUUAAGUACACGGUUACAAUCUUGUUAUCAGUACUUAAAAAGUUCCAUAAAUGCAUUAUUUGGUAAGAAGUUUAAGGUUUAUCACUUAAAAUUUAUGUGUUAUACAUGUGUGUUUGUAUUGAUUUUGAAUAAGAAUGUCAUUUUCAGCUCCAUCACUAAUUUAUCAAUGUAUUCAGUUAUAUAACCUAUGUUUCAAUAGUUGUAAAUAAAUUGAAAAUCUACA